rnacentral:lncRNA from 1 species
GCAGGGGAAUAAUCUCAUUGUAUCCGGACCUCAACGAAUGAGCAAUAAUGUACUACCUAGGUACCGCCACAGCCUGGAGCUACACGGAUAGAUAGGGAAGUGCCAUUUUAUAUCUCAUCAUAUCUAUGCAUGCAUAAUCUAGUCCCCAAAGGACAAAAGUACUCAAGCACACGGCCCAAAACCCUUGUGUGUACUCAGAUGGGCCCCAAAGGCCUCAUCAUAUUUGUGUCACUGUAACCAAAUAAGGGUAUUGUCCAAUGAUUUGGUAAACAACAUUUUAUACACAUAUAUAUAAACAUAUAAUCACAUCUGAAAUCUCAUUUUCUUUUCAUUUGACAUACUUUAAAUCUAAUUCCUUUUCUUUAAAAUAUUAUCGUACAUAUAUAUUCAAAAUUGGUAAUAAAAUUAUUAGUCAUACACAUCUUUAAUAAUAAACGCCAAUACAUAGAUAAAAUCCAUUUUUAGAAAAAUGAUUAAAUCAGAACCUUUAAAACUUAUCUCGUAAACAUGCUUUACCAUAUUUUAAAACCAUAAUAAAUUAUAAAGAAAAUAGGUUUUGUAUAUUCCACUUACAGUGACGAUGUUUAGACUCGGUUAUUGCCCACGUCCGCAGAUUGGCUCUUGCUCGCAGAUCCUCCUAAAUCAAUAAAACGACAUAAUUAAUUUUCAUAAAUCGAAAUUAGGACUAAAUUUAUGCAAUAAACUCGAAAUGAACAUUUGUCCAUAAUAUACAACUCUCGUGUCGAUAAAAUUAUUAAAAUACCCUCGAAUCCAUACAUCAUUAGAAUACUCUGAAAUUGAAAAUCAUCGAGUUACCCUUGGAAUUGUAAUUACAACCAAUCCUUAAUUUCAGAAAUUAAUAAAAUCUCUACAUGGUCAGAAAUUGCAAAUUGCCCUCAAAUUGUGAAAUUAUCGUAUUACCCUCGCUGGGCAACGGUGACCAAAAUUCAAGCAAAGGUGAUUGGAAACCUUGGGUUAGACAUUUCUAGUUGAGCUGAGUUCAAUGGUAUUAGUGAUGAGCUCCCACGCGUGGCGACAAUGCCGGAAUCUAGCUCGACAGUCGUGUAACUUCAACGGCUGAUCCACGGUAAAUCGAUGGCUUUCAGUGGCUGUGGAUGGUGGGAAAAUCAAAAGGGAGCUAUGGGAACAAAACCAAGCCGGUGGUGUCACCCCAAACCAAUGAAAUCAAUGGUGAGAAGGGGUGGGUUUUACUGCCGCUUAUCGAGCUAAAACGCCGGCGUUCUGGUCUUUAAUCGGCGAUGAUGAUGGCUGGGAUACGACGACCGAUCUUCAAGCUUCAGAUUGGUACUAGGCUUGGCUGGUGGGGUGGUCGAAAUUAUAAGAUUUGACUGGGUCACGUUCGCGGGGUCGUGUCUGGUUUUAGGUCAGUUUGCAGCUUUUCUCACUCUCUUACACGUGUGUAUGUGUUCCUCUAUUUCUAGAUUCUUCUUUUAUUUUUAUUUACCUUUUAACUGCCUCACUUUUUUUUCUCACG